GGGGCUGCAGCUCAGUGAUGGAGCAUCUGCUUGGCAUGCAGAAGAGCCCAGCUUCAAUCCUUGCUGUUUCCAGUUUCA
rnacentral:tRNA from 1 species